GCGCCAGUGGUUUAGUGGUAAAAUCUAUCGUUGCCAUAACACCGCAACAUUCGAUGGGCCCCGCGUCCGAUUCGCGGCUGGCGCA